rnacentral:rRNA from 1 species
UACGGAAUGUGCAAACGUUAUUCGGAAUCACUGGGCUUAAAGAGUCCGUAGGCGGCAUGUUAGGUGAGGUGUGAAAAUCCCCCCGGCUCAACCGAGGAAUUGCGCUUCAAACCGGCGUGCUUGAGGAAGAUAGAGGUGGGCGGAACUGAUGGUGGAGCGGUGAAAUGCGUUGAUAUCAUCAGGAACACCGGAGGCGAAAGCGGCCCACUGGGGUCUUUUUCUGACGCUGAGGGACGAAAGCUAGGGGAGCGAACGGG